CAGUCGCCACGGUAAAACAGAGGGUGCGAGCGUUAAUCGGAUUUACUGGGCGUAAAGCGUGCGUAGGCGGCUUUUUAAGUCGGAUGUGAAAUCCCUGAGCUUAACUUAGGAAUUGCAUUCGAUACUGGGAAGCUAGAGUAUGGGAGAGGAUGGUAGAAUUCCAGGUGUAGCGGUGAAAUGCGUAGAGAUCUGGAGGAAUACCGAUGGCGAAGGCAGCCAUCUGGCCUAAUACUGACGCUGAGGUACGAAAGCAUGGGGAGCAAACAGGAUUAGAUACCCCCGUAGUCCCUGUCUCUUAUAA
rnacentral:rRNA from 1 species